UACAGAGGUCUCAAGCGUUGUUCGGAUUCAUUGGGCGUAAAGGGUGCGUAGGUGGCGCCGUAAGUCAGGUGUGAAAUUUCGGAGCUUAACUCCGAAACUGCAUUCGAUACUGCGGUGCUUGAGGACUGGAGAGGAGACUGGAAUUCAUGGUGUAGCAGUGAAAUGCGUAGAGAUCAUGAGGAAGACCAGUGGCGAAGGCGGGUCUCUGGACAGUUCCUGACACUGAGGCACGAAGGCCAGGGGAGCAAACGGG
rnacentral:rRNA from 1 species